UCCUACGGGAGGCAGCAGUGAGGAAUAUUGGUCAAUGGGCUUACGCCUGAACCAGCCAAGUCGCGUGAGGGAAGACUGCCCUAUGGGUUGUAAACCUCUUUUGUCAGGGAGCAAUUGGCGCUACGUGUAGCGUUAUCGAGAGUACCUGAAGAAAAAGCAUCGGCUAACUCCGUGCCAGCAGCCGCGGUAAUACGGAGGAUGCGAGCGUUAUCCGGAUUUAUUGGGUUUAAAGGGUGCGUAGGCGGAAUGCCAAGUCAGCGGUAAAAUCGCGGGGCUCAACCUAGCUCGGCCGUUGAAACUGGCGU
rnacentral:rRNA from 1 species